GAUGAACGCUGGCGGCGUGCUUAACACAUGCAAGUCGAACGAGAAAUGUAGACGGAAACCUUCGGGCGGAAGCCUUCAUUUCGAGUGGCGGACGGGUGAGUAACGCGUGGGUAACCUGCCUCAUACAGGGGGAUAACAGUUGGAAACGACUGUUAAUACCGCAUAAGACCACAGCAUCGCAUGAUGCGGGGGUAAAAACUCCGGUGGUAUGAGAUGGACCCGCGUUCGAUUAGCCAGUUGGCGGGGUAACGGCCCACCAAAGCGACGAUCGAUAGCCGAUCUGAGAGGAUGACCGGCCACAUUGGGACUGAGACACGGCCCAAACUCCUACGGGAGGCAGCAGUGGGGAAUAUUGCACAAUGGGGGAAACCCCGAUGCAGCGACGCCGCGUGAGUGAAGAAGUACUUCGGUAUGUAAAGCUCUAUCAGCAGGGAAGAAAAUGACGGUACCUGAGUAAGAAGCCCCGGCUAACUACGUG
rnacentral:rRNA from 1 species